CCACGGGUACUUACAUCGCAUGUCGAGCGAAUUUGAUUCCGUGCGCUUGCUCUCAAGAAGUUAGCGGCGGACGGGUGAGUAACACGUGGGUAACCUGCCCAUAAGACUGGGAUAACUCCGGGAAACCGGGGCUAAUACCGGAUAACAUUUUGAACUGCAUGGUUCGAAAUUGAAAGGCGGCUUCGGCUGUCACUUAUGGAUGGACCCGCGUCGCAUUAGCUAGUUGGUGAGGUAACGGCUCACCAAGGCAACGAUGCGUAGCCGACCUGAGAGGGUGAUCGGCCACACUGGGACUGAGACACGGCCCAGACUCCUACGGGAGGCAGCAGUAGGGAAUCUUCCGCAAUGGACGAAAGUCUGACGGAGCAACGCCGCGUGAGUGAUGAAGGCUUUCGGGUCGUAAAACUCUGUUGUUAGGGAAGAACAAGUGCUAGUUGAAUAAGCUGGCACCUUGACGGUACCUAACCAGAAAGCCACGGCUAACUACGUGCCAGCAGCCGCGGUAAUACGUAGGUGGCAAGCGUUAUCCGGAAUUAUUGGGCGUAAAGCGCGCGCAGGUGGUUUCUUAAGUCUGAUGUGAAAGCCCACGGCUCAACCGUGGAGGGUCAUUGGAAACUGGGAGACUUGAGUGCAGAAGAGGAAAGUGGAAUUCCAUGUGUAGCGGUGAAAUGCGUAGAGAUAUGGAGGAACACCAGUGGCGAAGGCGACUUUCUGGUCUGUAACUGACACUGAGGCGCGAAAGCGUGGGGAGCAAACAGGAUUAGAUACCUGGUAGUCCACGCGUAAACGAUGAGUGCUAGUGUAGAGGGUUUCCGCCCUUUAGUGCUGAAGUUACGCAUAGCACUCCGGCUGGGGAGUACGGCCGCAGGCUGAAACUCAAAGAUGGACGGGGCCCGCACAGCGGGGGACAUUGGGUAUCGACCACCCGAGACUUACAGUCUGAAUCCCUG
rnacentral:rRNA from 1 species